CGUAGGUGGCAAGCGUUGUCCGGAAUUAUUGGGUGUAAAGGGUGCGUAGGCGGGAAUAUAAGUCGGAUGUGAAAUGCCCGGGCUCAACUCGGGAGCUGCAUUCGAAACUAUAUUUCUUGAGUGAAGUAGAGGCAAGCGGAAUUCCUAGUGUAGCGGUGAAAUGCGUAGAUAUUAGGAGGAACACCAGUGGCGAAGGCGGCUUGCUGGGCUUUUACUGACGCUGAGGCACGAAAGCAUGGGGAGCAAACAGGAUUAGAUACCCUGGUAGUCCAUGCUGUAAACGAUGAAUGCUAGGUGUGGGGGGUCUGACCCCUUCCGUGCCGGAGUUAACACAAUAAGCAUUCCACCUGGGGAGUACGGCCGCAAGGUUG
rnacentral:rRNA from 1 species